rnacentral:rRNA from 1 species
AGAAGCUUGCUUCUCUGAUGUUAGCGGCGGACGGGUGAGUAACACGUGGAUAACCUACCUAUAAGGCUGGGAUAACUUCGGGAAACCGGAGCUAAUACCGGAUGAUAUUUUGAACCGCAUGGUUCAAAAGUGAAAGACGGUCUUGCUGUCACUUAUAGAUGGAUCCGCGCUGCAUUAGCUAGUUGGUAAGGUAACGGCUUACCAAGGCAACGAUGCAUAGCCGACCUGAGAGGGUGAUCGGCCACACUGGAACUGAGACACGGUCCAGACUCCUACGGGAGGCAGCAGUAGGGAAUCUUCCGCAAUGGGCGAAAGCCUGACGGAGCAACGCCGCGUGAGUGAUGAAGGUCUUCGGAUCGUAAAACUCUGUUAUUAGGGAAGAACAUAUGUGUAAGUAACUGUGCACAUCUUGACGGUACCUAAUCAGAAAGCCACGGCUAACUACGUGCCAGCAGCCGCGGUAAUACGUAGGUGGCAAGCGUUAUCCGGAAUUAUUGGGCGUAAAGCGCGCGUAGGCGGUUUUUUAAGUCUGAUGUGAAAGCCCACGGCUCAACCGUGGAGGGUCAUUGGAAACUGGAAAACUUGAGUGCAGAAGAGGAAAGUGGAAUUCCAUGUGUAGCGGUGAAAUGCGCAGAGAUAUGGAGGAACACCAGUGGCGAAGGCGACUUUCUGGUCUGUAACUGACGCUGAUGUGCGAAAGCGUGGGGAUCAAACAGGAUUAGAUACCCUGGUAGUCCACGCCGUAAACGAUGAGUGCUAAGUGUUAGGGGGUUUCCGCCCCUUAGUGCUGCAGCUAACGCAUUAAGCACUCCGCCUGGGGAGUACGACCGCAAGGUUG